UAUGGUCAGAUCACGUUGAAAGACCGGUUCCCGUCUGAUCCCAGAUGUUAAGCAACGUCGAGCCUAGUCAGUAAAUAGAUGGGUGAUCGCUUGGGAACUAUAGGUGC